CCAUCUCUUGAAAAAGUUAUCCUGAGAUUUCUGUUAAAAAAUUCCUUAAUCUUAGCGAUUUUGUGCUCUUUGCAGAAUGGCCAGUUUGGUCAGAUUGCCAAAAUUUUUCUCAUCCCACUGAAUACUUUAAGUUUGAGGAAGCUACAAAUAAUUGUUAAGGGAAAAUGUUGUACUUUUCCAAUACACGGUGAAAAAAACGGAAAAUAUCCAAAGCACUGAAAUCAUUGGCUAUUUUUGAAAAUGAAGUAAAUUAAGCAUUUUAUCAACCCGUAGUUAGGAAAAUUUAAAGGGGAGAACAUAAAUGGUGAUCUUCCUCCAAACUAGGAGACAAAAUGUUACGUAUCUAGAAGUUGUUAUCAGGAACAGUUAAUCCUUGAAAUUAUUUCUGAACGUUGAUUACUUACCAUCAGGCAGAAAAUAUCAGAAGGACUGCUGAAGAAAACCUGAAAUUAAAAGACAAAGAGAUGAGAAAAGAAAUACAUCAGUGGGAGUUGAAAGCCUCCGAGUUAGAGCUCGACCUUCAGUCGGAGAGAAAAAUGAAAGACCGCAUGAAAAUUUCAUAUGAGCAAGAAAAUAAGUGCAAAGAGGCGGAAAUUUCAAACUUACAUAAUAAACUAUCACAACAAGGUCUCAACAGGCGUCUAAGUGAAGUCAGGCUGGAAUAUGAUAAACAGUUAGAGAAAGUUGAACAAAGUUUGACAGAAGAACGCAAAAACUACGAAGAACUAACUGCCAAGUAUGAGCAACUAGAGCAAGAACAUGUGGCCACCAAAUCUCAAUUUGUGAUGGAAAAAGAAACGUUGUUGAGGUAUUUUCAGUGCCAGUAUUGUUUUCUAUCCAAAAAUUAA
rnacentral:lncRNA from 1 species